AUUGAACGCUGGCGGCAGGCCUAACACAUGCAAGUCGAGCGAGCGGCGGACGGGUGAGUAAUGUAUGGGAAUCUGCCCGAUAGAGGGGGCUAACUACUGGAAACGGUGGCUAAUACCGCAUACUAUCGGAUGACCCCAUAUGGGAUUAGCUAGUAGGUGGGGUAAAGGCUCACCUAGGCGACGAUCUCUAGCUGGUCUGAGAGGAUGAUCAGCCAAACGGGAACUGAUACAAGGUCCAGACUCCUACGGGAGGCAGCAGUGGGAAAUAGUGCACAAUGGGCGCAAGCCUGAUGCAGCCAUGCCGCGUGUAUGAAGAAGGCCUGAGGGUUGUAAAGUACUUUCAGCGGGGAGGCGUUACCCGCAGAAGAAGCACCGGCUAACUCCGUGCCAGCAGCCGCGGUAAUAC
rnacentral:rRNA from 1 species